UUUUAGACUAGGAUUAGAUACCCUAUUAUUUGAGGUGAAAGAGUUUUAACCUGAAUAUUAACUGUUUAUUAAUACCGAAAAUUUUUCGGUAUUAAUAUUAAAGUAAAAUCAAAGAUUUUGGCGGUAUUUUAAAUCAUGUUAGGGGAGCUUGCCGUUUAAUUCGAUAUUCCACGGAAACUUCACCUUAUUAGAAAAAAUUUUGGUUUGUAUAUCUCCGUUGGUAAUUUAUGCUUAAGGUUGUAAAAAGUGUUUUCUCGCUAAAACAGCAGGUACUUCAGGUAGACAUACAGCUAAUAAUAAGGGAACUAGGUGAGCUACAAUAAAUUUAAAUUCUUAAAAUAAAAUGAAAUUUUUUUUCGAAGGAGGACUUAACAGUAAAUUUUUUGUAAAAAUUGAAAUAGUAAUAAAGUGCGUACAAACCGCCCGUCAUUCCUAUAUUUAGUUUAAUUAGGAC
rnacentral:rRNA from 1 species